rnacentral:rRNA from 1 species
GAUCAUGGCUCAGGAUGAACGCUAGCUACAGGCUUAACACAUGCAAGUCGAGGGGAAACGACAUCGAAAGCUUGCUUUUGAUGGGCGUCGACCGGCGCACGGGUGAGUAACGCGUAUCCAACCUGCCUACCACUUGGGGAUAACCUUGCGAAAGUAAGACUAAUGCCCAAUGACAUCCCACGAAGGCAUCCGAAUGGGAUUAAAGAUUCAUCGGUGAUGGAUGGGGAUGCGU